UUUAAAUGGCGCAAACUAAUGUCACCUUUAUAGUUUCAACUGUUCAACAUAAAUUACCAUUUGGUCCAUUUUACUCGAAAACAUUAUAUGCAUAGAGAGAAUAUACUGAGAGAAUUUAGAAACAAGAUCACAAGUAAAAUUGGUAGGACAGAGUGGAGAUAGAAGGAAGGUACUAGAAAAUCGAACAGAGUUUACAAAAGCAGAAAGUCAAAUCUCUUAACAACUAGCAAAUUUGCUACAAGAUCUAUGUAUCACAUACACCGGCUAGCAAAUUUGCUACAAGAUAUAUGUUUCACAUACACCAGAUAGAUUAUAUAAUGCUCAUUGUGCCUUCUAUGCACCCACCUGAUGCCAAAAAGCCAGAGUUAUGAGUAGACCUGUACGACAGGUGACCUAAUACAGAUUGUGUACAUGCAGGGUGAGAUAAGAGAGUUGAAGAAGAGAGUUGACGAAUUUGAGCAUAUGUAUAAUGAAGUUCAAAACGAGAGCAAAGCCAGACUUACAGAGGUAGAGGAAUCACAGCUGAAAGUGGCUCAGCUACAAGAUACCCUAGAAAGGUAUUUAUACAGGAUAUAUAUUAACAAAUAGAAAUAGUUGCAGGUUCAACGUCCUUACUCUAAUUAUUUCAUGUAUAUGCAUGUAUAUGCUCUAUGCUCAUGCUCAGGUUAGAACUGAAUGUCUCCAACCUCGAAUCUGAGAACCAGGUUCUACGCCAGCAGGCUUUAGUUGCAUCAACUAAUGAGGACCUCUCUGAAGAAAUUGAAUGGUAAGAAUAUGCUUUAAUAUUUAUUAAAUUAACUUUUAGUGGCCGUUAAUAGAAAGUUGUUCUACUAGUCUGGUUCUUACAAAACACUGUUGAAACUGAAGAAAGGUAAAAACCUAACCAAGAACCAAAAUUUGAUUUCACUUGGCUAUUCUUUUUUCCCUAUACAAAACAAAUUCAAACAGUUUAAUACCCUGAGAUCGUGGCAAGAAGGUUCUUCACGUAAUGCCUUAAUGGGAUAAAAGAAAAAUUAUUAUAAAGACCUGCUUCUCAUCUCAUUGUGUUCACUAAGAUACUUUGCAGUAACAAACAAAAUGAACUUUGACUUAUUAAAUUUAGAUGUUUACUUAUGAAUAAGUUCUCUUUUGAAUACCUUGCCCACCUAAAAAAUAGUUUAGUUGAUAAUAAUUUCAACAGUGAAAACUUAGGAACAACCCAUGGUAAUAAAAAUUAUUAAGCAAGUCAGUUUUGAAUUAUUUCAAAUAUUGAAUUCAUAAAAUAAAUUUGCAACUCAAGCUCAAACCUGAGCAGGGAAGUGACAUAUCAGGUCUUUAUUUUGAAACUACUCACAACUGUAAAAAUUCUGAAAGAUAUUUCUUCUCUAUCAGUUUCAAAAGCAAGGUUAAAAGUCUGGAGUCAGAAAAUGAGUUUCUUCGAAGCCAGAAAGUAGUUGUGGAGCAAAUAGCCUCUGAAAGGGCACCGUCACAAUUAAAGGUAGACCUCCUUUGACUUUUGAAAUAUUCUUUACUGUCAAAUACUAUGCAAUCAGAACUAACCCUUUAAGAAUGCAGAGUUUGGAUAAUGGACACCCAACAGAGGAAGAGCACCAAAAAACAAAAGUAGAGGAGCAAACAACAAAAGCAGAGGAACAAACAACAAAAGUAAAUCUAAGUAUUUAUACAUAUAUUACAUCACAAAUAAGAUAUAUCUUAUUACUUCCUUGCACAAAUUUCCAUAAGGAACAUGCACUAAUACAAUCUAAGUAUUUAUAUCUUAUUACAUCACAAAUAAAUUUUACUUGCAGGAGUCGACCAAUGUGGCCUCAUUCCUAACAAAACAAAGAUCCCUAACAGACAGGCAGCAGGUAUGUACUUGAAAUUGAGAAACUAUUUUCUACAUUUUGAUUUCCAAAAAUUUUAAUAAACACCUCUUAUUUUUCCUAUAUGCAGGAAAACCAUGAUGUACUAAUCAAGUGCCUCGUGGAAGAUAAGAGGUUCGACAAGAGCAGACCUCUUGCAGCUUGUAUCGUGUAUAAAACACUUCUUCAGUGGAGAUCCUUUGAAGCUGAUAAGACAAAUAUUUUUGAUAGGAUAAUUCACACAAUUCGAUCAUCUAUUGAGGUAAUAUUCUGACACUAUUUAAUGUUAGAAGUGAUCCACAAGUGACCAGCGACGGGUCCCUGCGGAUAUUCUAAACCAUGGCGCUUUUUGAUAAGUGAAACUAAUCUUCCUUUUAAUCCAUUGAAGAUUCAAGAUAACGUGAAAGAUCUGGCAUAUUGGCUCUCAACGACUUCUACCCUUUUGUUCCUUCUACAAAGUACAAUCAAGGCAAGCAAUACACUAAAUACAGCUUCACAACGUCACCGAGCCUCACCCACGACCUUGUUCAGUAGAAUGGCACAAGUAAGCUCUUUGGGGUAUAAAUUUAUUACCACAAAAAUACAUGGACUAUUUUGUUAACGAGUCUAACAAUUUGUAUCAGGGUUUUCGUGCAUCCUCGAUGGGCAUGGGAAUUUCCAGUGGUUACAGUGGAAUGGAGGGAAAGCCAAAAGCACAAUCAAAAAUUGAAGCCAAAUACCCAGCUCUUCUUUUUAAGCAGCAUCUAACGGCUUGUGUUGAGAAAAUAUAUGGACUGAUCCGUGAUAGCUUAAAGAAAGAGAUUAGUCCAUUCCUCAACUUAUGUAUACAAGUAAGCAUAUACAUAAGCUAGCCUCUCAUUUUGAAAUCUUACACCAAGUCUUCAACUAAAACCUCAAGUGCCAUUUACAGGCACCUAGAUCUACAAGGGCCAGAUCAAUAAGAGGGUCAUCUAAGAAUAUCCAUUCAAAUAUAGUGGCAAAACAGCAGGCAUCAAGCAUACACUGGCAAAGUAUUGUCAGCAGCUUGGAUCAAACAUUGAAAAUACUGUCUGAAAAUUAUGUAAGCGGAAAUAUACAUUCUAUACUCUUCCUGAAUUAACGUAUCAAAGAUCUACCCUGUUUUUCUUGUCUAAUGACCGUAUAUUCAGGUGUCUUCUGUUAUCACAAGAAAAAUCUACAGUCAGGUAUUCUCAUUCAUAAAUGUCCAGCUUUUUAAUAGGUAACAUAAUCUCUUCCUAAUCUUGAAAGCACAAACAAAUAUCGUAUAUUGUUUCAAGAAUGAUUACACUUGUGCUAUAUUAAGUCACAUAUUCAAAUACCAAGCAUUCUGUGGUUCUGCAGCUUAUUACUUCGCCGUGAAUGCUGCUCCUUCAGCAAUGGAGAAUAUGUAAAGGCUGGUUUGCAAGAACUUGAGCAAUGGUGUGUGAAAGCAGCAGAUCAGGUAUUUGACUAUAUCGAAAACCAUUUUAAGACUAGUUUAUGAUAGAAUCAAGAUGAGAUGGUAAUGAGAAAACCUAACUUGAAUUUUUCAUGAAACAGUUUGCUUGUUUUUUUGGGGUAGGCUAGUAUUCUCUCUCUUCUAUCAAUAAAUUUUGUUUUUUAUCUAAAAAAACAGUUAGCUGGAUCGUCAUGGGAUGAACUUCAACACAUAAGGCAAGCUGUAGGAUUUCUGGUAUGAUGUUUUCAACCCAUUUCACUUGGAAAAUUAAUUUUGAAUAGGGAUUGAGAAUUAAUACAAUUAUUAUUCAAUUAUGCAGGUAAUGCAUCAGAAGCCUCAAAAAUCACUGGCGGAGAUUACGAAUGAACUUUGCCCGGUAACUUGCUUGGCUAUAUAUUAAAACUAGUUUCCCCAACUUUCUCUCGGGAUAAGAUCCUUGAAGAACAUUUCAACUGAAAUUAUAAUAAUAGUAAGAUGAAGAACAGAUCAACAGUGAAUAUAAACCUUUUGUGUUUUCUUCUGAUUUAGAUGUUGAGCAUUCCACAAAUAUAUCGCAUUGGAACUAUGUUCUGUGAUGACAAAUAUGGGACACAAGGAUUAUCUCCUGAGGUAAAUGUUACCCAUUAUUUCAAUAUUAAUAUAAUAAUAGUCCAAUACUCAAACUUUAAAAAAUUACAUAACCUCUAGUACACUUCACAUAAGACUCUUAACAAGCCUUGAACAUACAUGUUUUUUUAAGGUGAGGCUCAAAACAAUAUGAUAAUACCGUCUUAUCUUAACUUUGUAAGAAAGAUUCUCUAACGUUUAUCUCAAGUCUGUCAAAUGUUGGGUUUCAGGUAAUUGGCAAGAUGAGAGCACUAAUGGCAGAAGAUUCAAUCAACAUACCAAACAACUCAUUCUUGCUUGAUGUGGAUUCAAGGUAAUCAACUUGAAAUGGAACACCCAACACUUUAUUAAAUAAACUUGAUCAUAGUACUAAUGAACUCAAAAAUUUACAGCAUACCUUUCUCUAUGGAAGAAAUAUCCCGCUCCUUUCUAGAUAUCAGCCUGUCUGAUGUGGAUCCACCACCUCUCCUUCGUCAGAGAUCAGAUUUUCAUUUCCUGUUGCAGCAAACAGAUUGAGUCUUACAAGUUUUGAUCUAGUUUUACACAUUUAUGAACAGGAAAUGCUAUUGUAAUUAAUUGAUUCAAGUUCCCAGUUUGUUUUUUGGGGAGGUGAGAGAGUGAGGGAAUGAGUGCUCAGAUUGUAAAGGUUUUUUUUGUCUGUCCUUGAAUCAGGAAAAUUACAUUUUUUUCAUUGAAACAGCACUCGUGGAAUUGAUGUAUCAUUGAUAUACAGAGAAUGAAAGGUAAAAUAAAAAAGUCCUAGUAGAAGUGCGGAGAAAUGAUCGUCCUGUAUUUUGAGAAAUGUAUUCAUUUUCUUAUUCCAUCCUAGCUAGCAUCUUCACUCGUGGGAUAUAUAAAUUCAAGUUUUUUGCGAUAUCCCUCUAUGGUGUUCCCCCAGCCUUUACAAUACCCAUCCAUCGGUCAGGAGAGCAUCCUCCAACAGUUGUAUUAAAGCAUACUAUUAGACCUAAACAAUCAAGGAUAUCUGCUAAAACCUGGUAGAACAGUGAUUUUGAAAUGUUUCCAUACUGGAUCUGAUUUUUACCCAAGAUUAUAAUAACCUUAUACAACAGAAUAAUCAUUUCUAAAUGUGUGCUGAAGCAAUCUAUAAAACAUAGCUGAAACAGACCAAAUGGCAAUAUCUGAAUGCUAAUGCAGGCACAUACCAAGAAAUGAUUAAAAAGGGCAGCAUUUGUGAGGAGAAUUGGGCAUUUCUUGCUGCUCAACAUUUUCAAUAAUUUAAUCCUCUUCAAUGAACAAGGAUUCUGUCAAUUAUUUGCAUUCCAUAACGCACAGUUUAUUACUCCCUCCGUUCCUAAAAGCUUGUCGUUUUAGGAAGUAAUUUUUGUUCCAAAAAUAUUGUUGUUUUGAGUUUAUCAAUACACAUUAGUUAUUUUUCCCUACUUUACCCUUAUUUAAAGUUUUCUCCUAUUUAAAGCUUUCUUCCUUCCCAAUAAUUCUUAUUCAAUUCAAUGCUAUAAUCCAAGUAGUAAUUGGUGGAAUUGAAUAAGAAACAUUGGAAAGAGAAUAAUUGGUUGAGAAAAUUAAUAAGGGUAGUAUAGUAUUUUGGCUAGGUAUUAAUUAUAUUCCUUAAUCUGUGUGCAUUACCUUUAAACGACAAUCUUAUUACCUUUAAACGACAAUCUUAUAGGAACAGAGGGAGUACAUAAUAGGUGUGCAAAACAACAAAUGUUUAUGUUCAAUCCUUCUUCGGGAUCUGCUCUAUUGGCAUCAGCUAUUGGCUGUCUUCAUUAGACUUCGUAUGCACAAUUGCAAUCCAUUAAUAUCAAUGCAUAUCCAUGACAUAUAAUGCAUGCAUCAAGAUAUAAAUUAUUGUAUUAAUGAACUGAAUUACCUAUGCUCAACUCCAUUUUCGAAUGAAUUAAACUUUCCCCACCAGUUUUCCUGCAACUUUAUUGCUCUCCAUUUCUCCAAACAAUAAGCAUUUCAGCUCGCACACCAACUUUUGUAGUUUACAUAUCGAAUUCCUAACAAGUGCAAGAAAGAUUAAUUUUUCUUUCUUUUCCAUUUCCUUCGCUUCAUUUUGUAGUUCCGUUUACAGAGAUACACGAACAGAAAAUUUGUGUUUGAAUCUG
rnacentral:lncRNA from 1 species